UAGGGAAUCUUGCGCAAUGGGGGCAACCCUGACGCAGCAAUACCGCGUGAGUGAGGAAGGUCUUCGGAUUGUAAAGCUCUGUCGUUAGGGAAAAAUGGUUAGUGGUCUAAUAGGCCAUUAAUUUGAUGGUACCUAAGAAGGAAACACCGGCUAACUUCGUGCCAGCAGCCGCGGUAAUACGAAGGGUGUAAGCGUUGUUCGGAUUUAUUGGGCGUAAAGCGCGCGCAGGUGGAUUUUUAAGUCAGAUGUGAAAUCUCGGGGCUCAACCCCGAACGUGCGUCUGAAACUGGAGAUCUAGAAUAUUGGAGGGGACAGAGGAAUUUCACAUGUAGGGGUAAAAUCCGUAGAGAUGUGAAGGAACACCAGAGGCGAAGGCGUCUGUCUGGCCAAGUAUUGACAC
rnacentral:rRNA from 1 species